AUUGAACGCUGGCGGCAGGCCUAACACAUGCAAGUCGAGCGGAUGAAGGGAGCUUGCUCCUGGAUUCAGCGGCGGACGGGUGAGUAAUGCCUAGGAAUCUGCCUGGUAGUGGGGGAUAACGUCCGGAAACGGGCGCUAAUACCGCAUACGUCCUGAGGGAGAAAGUGGGGGAUCUUCGGACCUCACGCUAUCAGAUGAGCCUAGGUCGGAUUAGCUAGUUGGUGGGGUAAAGGCCUACCAAGGCGACGAUCCGUAACUGGUCUGAGAGGAUGAUCAGUCACACUGGAACUGAGACACGGUCCAGACUCCUACGGGAGGCAGCAGUGGGGAAUAUUGGACAAAGGGCGAAAGACUGAUCCAGCCAUGCCGCGUGUGUGAAGAAGGUCUUCGGAUUGUAAAGCACUUUAAGUUGGGAGGAAGGGCAGUAAGUUAAUACCUUGCUGUUUUGACGUUACCAACAGAAUAAGCACCGGCUAACUUCGUG
rnacentral:rRNA from 1 species